rnacentral:rRNA from 1 species
UAGGGAAUCUUCCGCAAUGGGCGAAAGCUUGACGGAGCAACGCCGCGUGAGUGAUGAAGGUCUUCGGAACGUAAAACUCUGUUAUUAGGGAAGAACAAAUGUGUAAGUAACUAUGCACGUCUUGACGGUACCUAAUCAGAAAGCCACGGCUAACUACGUGCCAGCAGCCGCGGUAAUACGUAGGUGGCAAGCGUUAUCCGGAAUUAUUGGGCGUAAAGCGCGCGUAGGCGGUUUUUUAAGUCUGAUGUGAAAGCCCACGGCUCAACCGUGGAGGGUCAUUGGAAACUGGAAAACUUGAGUGCAGAAGAGGAAAGUGGAAUUCCAUGUGUAGCGGUGAAAUGCGCAGAGAUAUGGAGGAACACCAGUGGCGAAGGCGACUUUCUGGUCUGUAACUGACGCUGAUGUGCGAAAGCGUGGGGAUCAAACAGG